UUGACGGGGCCCGCACAAGCGGAGGAACAUGUGGUUUAAUUCGAUGAUACGCGAGGAACCUUACCUGGGCUUAAAUGUAGAGUGCAUGGGGUAGAAAUAUCCCUUUCCUUCGGGACUCUUUGCAAGGUGCUGCAUGGUUGUCGUCAGCUCGUGCCGUGAGGUGUCGGGUUAAGUCCCAUAACGAGCGCAACCCUUAUCGUUAGUUGCCAGCGGGUCAUGCCGGGAACUCUAACGAAACUGCCGGUGUAAACCGAGAGGAAGGUGGGGAUGACGUCAAAUCAGCACGGCCCUUAUGUCCAGGGCUACACACGUGUUACAAUGGCCGGUACAGAGGGCAGCUACCUGGAGACAGGAUGCGAAUCUCGAAAGCCGGUCUCAGUUCGGAUCGGAGUCUGCAACUCGACUCCGUGAAGCUGGAUUCGCUAGUAAUCGCGCAUCAGCCAUGGCGCGGUGAAUACGUUCCCGGGCCUU
rnacentral:rRNA from 1 species